CCCUUUCUUCUUUUUGCCCUUCGCGGGCAGCAGGAGGACACCGUAGCAGUGCUUGCGUCCCGAUCAAGCCACGGCUCACCGUGAGAUUGUGAAGGUCCGCAAGUUUCUGCUUGUGAUCUCGGAUGCGGAGCAUUAAGCGGGCGUGGGGUCUUCGGCCUCUAAUCGUCCAAUUUGAAGCGUUUUCGCUCGACACGUACGACUGUUGUGCCCGCGGCGAGCUCUCGACCCACAAGGUCGUCUGUCUUC
rnacentral:misc_RNA from 1 species